AAUCAACGCUGGCGGCGUGCCUAACACAUGCAAGUCGAACGCGAGAGGGGCUUCGGCCCCGAUUGAGUGGCGAACGGGUGAGUAACGCGUGGGUGACCUACCUUCGAGUGGGGGAUAACGUCCCGAAAGGGACGCUAAUACCGCAUAACAUCCUGCUUUUGAAUGGGUGGAGAUCAAAGCCGGGGAUCGCAAGACCUGGCGCUUGAUGAGGGGCCCGCGUCUGAUUAGCUAGUUGGGAGGUAACGGCCCACCAAGGCAACGAUCAGUAUCCGGCCUGAGAGGGCGGACGGACACACUGGGACUGAGACACGGCCCAGACUCCUACGGGAGGCAGCAGUGGGGAAUUGUUCGCAAUGGGCGCAAGCCUGACGACGCAACGCCGCGUGGAGGAUGAAGGUCUUCGGAUUGUAAACUCCUGUUGCCCGGGACGAAUGGCUCCGACCUAACACGUCGGAGUGUGACGGUACCGGGUGAGGAA
rnacentral:rRNA from 1 species